rnacentral:lncRNA from 1 species
GAAUCAAUUCAUCUGCUGCCUGCCCAACCACCCCUACGGGAGAAAAUAUUGUAAAAUUCACUUUCUUUUCAAAAUCAUAAUCUUUUCGAAAAGCCCUGAUUAAUUUACUUUACCCUGCCUCAUUUUUUCUCCCUUGUUACCUUUUUGGAAAUUUUUCUCAUUCAUUUUCCCGGUUAUGAAUUCUUCCCAAAUCUUUUCAACUUUUAUUUCUUCAAAUUUCUCUUGCAGUUAACCAAUUAAUGGAUCAUAUUAUCUGUAUCUCAAUGAUAUAUUAUUGGUUAGAAUCAUGUUUAUCAGUAUUCCUACAGAUCUUCGUCAAUUAUUUGGGGAGAUGGGAUUGAUUUCUAUCUUGGUAGCCUAUGUUGUACCUUUUUGUUUUAAGGUAGUAUCCAGCAUAAAAAUUUCACUGCUUGAUUGCUAAGAGGAAUUUGCUAUCUUUGCAUGACAAUUUGAAAUUUAAAUUUAGCUUCAUAUGCUUAAUUUGACACUGACUUGACGUUUCUGUUCUUUGCAGUCAUUCGUGCUCUUCUGGACGUAUCCUAAUAUGUUGUAAUCUUUCGACAAAUAGAUUUAUGAAUUAUUUUAUUCCCUCUUGAUAAAACUAUAUGAAGGUAUUCGGCUUAUCAUCUCCGUGCCAACAUGUAUGUCUUUUGUCAAUAUUCUCAAGUUUUACUCUAAGUAACAAGAUAGGGUGUAGAGAUGACCAUGCGAUGUUAUCAGGUUAUAGUUGGGAACAUGUUAUCCUCUACCUCCCCUCCUCUGCCCUAGGAAAUAACCAUAUUUUGUCUUUUACUUUUGCCUCUUGGACAAAUUGUCUUGGACAAGUUUAGUUGAGAAAAGAAUUGUGGGAAACAAAAACAUAACUGGAUAUUUUGUCCUCGGGUCGUUAAAAAGACAUCGAUCAAAGACGAAAGUUAUACUAGAGUUCAAGCUUUUUUUGUUAAGGAGCUCACAGAUAACAUUUAUAGUGCUCUCAAAUUCUUUUUCAUAGAUAAUUAUUUCUUAACCAACCAAAUUGAAAAAAAAAAAAACGAAGAGGCGUAGUGGUGCCAAUAUUUUCAUUGCAUUUCUUGUGUGGUUUCUAUGUAUCUUUACCAUACCGUCCCUUGCAUGGUGUUGUAUCGUAUAUGCAUUCCUGUAUUCCUUGACAUGCAAAAGAUUCGCAUUUGACAUUGUGCAUAUAUUCUGAGGAUCCCUUGCCGUGCGAGAUGAAGACCUUUGCUAUACCAAGAAGAUGCUAAGACAUUUUCAACUUCAAAGUGGUGGGUAUUCAAAGUUUGCACUCAUGAUAUUUUCGUUCUAUUAAGCUUGUAAGAAGGUUUUUAGAGUUGGGAGUAGUUGAAUAUUUGAUCUUGAGAAAAGUUUUUGGUUAGGUAAUUUAUAUUCAGAGUUUAAAAGCUCGAGUAAUUGCAUAAGCUGUUGAACAUUCCAUAUCACUGUUGAAUGAUAUA